GACGAACGCUGGCGGCGUGCCUAAUACAUGCAAGUCGAACGCAGUGGGGACGGGUGAGUAACACGUGGGUAAUAUCCCAUCAGCGGGGAUAACACUUGGAAACAGGUGCUAAACCGAUACUGAUGGAUGGACCCGCGGUGCAUUAGCUAGUUGGUGAGGUACCGGCUCACCAAGUCAACGAUGCAUAGACGACCUGAUAGGGUGAUCGGCCACACGGGGACGGAGACACGGCCCAGACUCCUACUGGAGGCAGGAGUAGGGUAUCUUCGGCAAUGGACGAAAGUCUGACCGAGCAACGCCGCGUGAGUGAAGAAGGUUUUCGGAUCGUAAAACUCUGUUGUUAGAGAAGCGGUAUCUAACCAGAAAGCCACGGCUAACUACGUGCCAGCAGCCGCGGUAAUUC
rnacentral:rRNA from 1 species